AACGAACGCUGGCGGCAUGCCUAACACAUGCAAGUCGAACGAGACCGUCGGGUCUAGGGGCGCACGGGAGCGUAAGGCGAGGGAACCGGCCCUUAGGGUCGGAAUAACUCCCCGAAAGGGGUGCUAAUAGGGGAUAAAUGCUUCGGACGAAAGAUUUAUUGCAUUAGGAGGGGCCCGCGUGAGAGUAGCAAGUUGGUAGGGUAAAAGCCAUCCAAGGCGGCGCUCCCUAGCUGGUCUGGGAGGAUGACCCACAACACUGGGAACGUCACCCGUCCCAGACCCUCGCGAAUGGCAGCAGUGGUGACUGUGCGACGCUGGGCGAGAGCCUGAUGCUGCAGUGUCGCGUGAGUGAUGUAGUCGUUAGGGUUGUAAAGCUCUGUUGACCGCGAUGAUAAUGACGGUACCGGGAGAAUAAGCGCCGGCUAACUCCGUG
rnacentral:rRNA from 1 species